CUUCUUGUUCGUCUUGAGGGGGAUUAGAGUUAAAUUUGGGAGGGGGUGAGGUAUCCAGAGUUUCCAAAAUCGCUUGAGAUUUAUUUUGAGAAGGGGAGAAAUAUCCUGACAAUCUUUUCUCUGGAAUGGGAUCCUUUUUUUCCCCUCUUUCUCUUAUCUUCCUGUGGUUUUUUUGUCUGCCAUUCUGUAGAUUUUUUUCUUUUUUCGUUGAUGUCUAUAUCUCUCUUCCUUCAAUUUUUCGGCUUAUUAGAUAUAAUUAAAUACGUUUGAAAACCAUUCAAUAUGGCAACUU